rnacentral:rRNA from 1 species
AUACGGAGGGUACAAGCGUUAAUCGGAAUUACUGGGCGUAAAGCGCGCGUAGGCGGUUAUUUAAGUCGGAUGUGAAAGCCCCGGGCUCAACCUGGGAAUUGCAUUCGAUACUGGGUAACUAGAGUAUGAGAGAGGGAGGUAGAAUUCCAUGUGUAGCGGUGAAAUGCGUAGAUAUGUGGAGGAAUACCAGUGGCGAAGGCGGCCUCCUGGCUCAAUACUGACGCUGAGGUGCGAAAGCGUGGGGAGCAAACAGGAUUAGAUACCCCGGUAGUCC